UAAUUGUGAAGCUAAAUUUAUUUUGGAUUUAUGUUAAGUUCUAGUACUGAAACAUUGUAAAAUUGUGUGUUUCAGUUGAAAAGAAUAUCGGGAAGGAACCCGAGGAACCGAGUCGAGGCUAAGGGACGACUCGCUUGAGAUAAGAGCAAGGAAAAAGCAGCAGAGUGAGCUGCUACUGAGUUGAAGAUCACAUCAAGCUUUUGUACGGGUAUUAUUUUAUACCCUUGUAGAUAAUUUUGAUGUAAAUAUGGAAAUGUUGUAUGUAUCAAUGUAGUUGAGCAGUUGUAAAUAAAUUGUAAUAAUAUUUUUUGGAUUUUCUUCUGUAAAUUUAAUAUUUGUAUUUAUGAAUUUCUCAUUUUAUGCUUGUGAAUGGAGAUAUUAAAUAUUUUGAGAUGAGAAA